rnacentral:rRNA from 1 species
UACGUAGGGUGCGAGCGUUAAUCGGAAUACUGGCGUAAAGCGUGCGCAGGCGGUGAUGUAAGACAGGUGUGAAAUCCCCGGGCUUAACCUGGGAACUGCAUUGUGACUGCAUCGCUGGAGUGCGGCAGAGGGGAUGGAAUCCGCGUGUAGCAGUGAAAUGCGUAGAGUAAUGCGGAGGAACACCGAUGGCGAAGGCAAUCCCUGGGCCUGCCACGUGACGCUCCGAGUGACACGAAA